ACAAGUCCCGUGCUUUAUAAUAUAUAUAAGGAUGGUAAGGACGCGAAGAAAACAGGUUUGUAAAUGAUGUUGUACAUCAUGCAGAUAGCUCAGAAGAAGAAGCAGGAAUGUUUGACUGGAAAUAUAAACGAUGUUGUACAUAAUGCAGAUAGCUUAGGCAAAA